rnacentral:lncRNA from 1 species
CAGAGGCCGAGGGGCCGUGUGUCACUGUGGGGGUGGGGAGACUGGCUCGGGGCCGGGAAGCAGGGGUGUGAAGGAGGCUCGUUCAUCAUUUUCCCAUUAUCCUUAGGACGCGGAAGGGAGCCCGUGCCACCCACUGCCCAUGGGGCAGCGCGAGUGUGGGGUUGGGCCUGGGGAGGGACCCCCCCACCACCGGGAAGGACACCCUGGCAGGCACUCGGGAUCGGGCUUUCGGCAGGUGCCCAGGGCAUGGAGCCUCGGGUUAGUGGCAGCCACACAGGACCACCUCCGCCCGGAUGGAGGGGGCUGUGGGCCGGGGAGCCCGUCUGACCCUGGGGCACUUGUUGGGGCAGGGGCCUCUGCUGCCGUGAACCCUCCCCUCCCGGAGUGUCAGCGUCUUCCUCCCCGGACUCCCAGAAGGUCCCACUCUUGCAGAAGACAGAUGGCACCAUGCGCUCCGCAGGGACAGACCCACAGCCCUGCCUCACCAGCACCCUCUCCUGCCUCCCCCAGGAAGAACAGAAGGCCCUGCACUGCUCACCCCUCAGGGGACCCUGAGUGGGGACCAGGGGGCGGAUCCAUCCAGGGACAGCCCCACCCCAGGUGGGGGGGCCGGGGUGGUGGUGGGUGGACCCAGUGGGCACGCAGGGAACUCCCAGUGGCAGUGAACCAGAACGCAAGAGCCAACGACCCCAGCCCCCCCCAACCAGGGGCUCAGGAACUCCCUUCGCAAACACUUGGCAUGUCGUUGGGCUAUUUGAAUAAUAAA